CAGAGAGAUGGGUUCAGAGGACGAUGAACUUGGUGGACUUAGGUGUAUUACAUCUUUAAAGUGGACACAGAGGCAAAGAAAGUGUCAGAAUCAGUCAGAACAGCAGAAACUACACCACUCCACCAACCAGAGGAAACAACUCUAGUCCUCUUCAAAGAGUCACAAGACUGGAAAGUGUCAGAGUCAGUCAGAAAAGCAGAAACGACAUCAUUCCACCAACCAG